UACGAUGUUCCAAGUAGGUUUUUUUGUUACAGGUAUGAUUGCUUCAACCGGUCAGAAGGUAAUGUGUCUGGAAAAGGAUGAGAUGAGAAGAGAGAAAUUUUUAGCCACUUACAGGUGGUUCGUGGGGAUAAUCUGGAGGAAAGCAUAUGUCGAAGAAGAAGAGGCCGUCGUGGUAAGGAGUUCCAGGUGUGCCAAUAACCGCAGCUCUCAUCAGAUCCAUCCUUUCCUCGUAAACUCUGACGUAAAUUGUCUCUGUCCAAUUCAGAAGAGCAACAGGAUGUCAGCGGCGAACGACAGGAAAGUCAAACCUUCCGUUUCAUUCCAGUAGCCUGAGGUGACGUGCAAACAGCUGAACCCUGGGAAGACUUCACCGUCGUGCAUUGCUUAUUUACAGGAAAUCAGGAAAAUAAAGGAUAUAAAUUUUAAUUGAACAAGAAAAUCUACAUGAACCGUUUGUGGCCCGCUGAGUUGUUUCCAUUAUUAGAAAAGGUGAUUAUUUUGAGGUUAAGUCCUCAGUUCAGAUUCAAUGAAUAGAAACAGAUUAGUAAGAACCAACCUGG
rnacentral:lncRNA from 1 species